rnacentral:rRNA from 1 species
AGUGAACGCUGGCGGUAGGCCUAACACAUGCAAGUCGAACGGCAGCACAGUAAGAGCUUGCUCUUACGGGUGGCGAGUGGCGGACGGGUGAGGAAUACAUCGGAAUCUACUUUUUCGUGGGGGAUAACGUAGGGAAACUUACGCUAAUACCGCAUACGACCUACGGGUGAAAGCAGGGGAUCUUCGGACCUUGCGCGAUUGAAUGAGCCGAUGUCGGAUUAGCUAGUUGGCGGGGUAAAGGCCCACCAAGGCGACGAUCCGUAGCUGGUCUGAGAGGAUGGUCCGCCACACUGGAACUGAGACACGGUCCAGACUCCUACGGGAAGCAGCAGUGGGGAAUAUUGCACAAGGGGCGCAAGCCUGAUCCGGCCAUACCGCGUGGGUGAAGAAGGCCUUCGGGUUGUAAAGCCCUUUUGUUGGGAAAGAAAAGCAGCAGGUUAAUACCCCGCUGUUCUGACGGUACCCAAAGAAUAAGCACCGGCUAACUUCGUG